GACGAACGCUGGCGGCAUGCCUAAUACAUGCAAGUCGAACGAGUUGCGAACGGGGGAGUAACGCGUGGUAAACUGCCCCAUAGGGGGGGGUAACCAUUGGAAACGAUAGGCAAUACCGCAUAGCUUAGGCAGGACCUGGGUUGUAUUAGCUUGUUGGUGGGGUAACGGCUCACCAAGGCGACGAUCCGUAGCUGGUUUGAGAGGAUGACCAGCCACACUGGGACUGAGACACGGUCCAGACUCCUACGGGAGGAAGCAGUGGGGAAUAUUGGACAAUGGGGGAAACCCUGAUGCAGCCAUGCCGCGUGUGUGAAGAAGGCCUUCGGGUUGUAAAGUACUUUCGGCAGGGAAGCGGUACCUGCAGAAGAAGCACCGGCUAACUCCGUGCCAGCAGCCGCGGUAAUUC
rnacentral:rRNA from 1 species